rnacentral:rRNA from 1 species
GAUGAACGCUGGCGGCGUGCCUAAUACAUGCAAGUCGAGCGAACAGACGAUGAGCUUUCUCCUCUGACGUUAGCGGCUGACGGGUGAGUAACACGUGGAUCACCUACCUCUAUUACUUGGAUAACUUCGGGAAACCGGAGCUAAUACCGGAUAAUAUAUUGAACCGCAUGGUUCAAUAGUGAAAGACGGUUUUGCUGUCACUUAUAGAUGGAUCCGCGCCGGAUUAGCUAGUUGGUAAGGUAACGGCUUACCAAGGCAACGAUGCGUAGCCGACCUGAGAGGGUGAUCGGCCACACUGGAACUGAGACACGGUCCAGACUCCUACGGGAGGCAGCAGUAGGGAAUCUUCCGCAAUGGGCGAAAGCUUGACGGAGCAACGCCGCGUGAGUGAAGAAGGUCUUCGGAUCGUAAAACUCUGUUAUUAGGGAAGAAAAAAUGUGUAAGUAAAUAUGCACGUCUUGACGGUACCUAAUCAGAAAGCAACGGCUAACUACGUG